rnacentral:rRNA from 1 species
UACGUAGGGGGCAAGCGUUGUCCGGAUUUAUUGGGCGUAAAGAGCGUGUAGGCGGCUAGAUAGGUCCGUUGUGAAAACUGGAGGCUCAACCUCCAGCUGUCGAUGGAAACCAUCUGGCUAGAGUCCGGAAGAGGAGAGUGGAAUUCCUGGUGUAGCGGUGAAAUGCGUAGAGAUCGGGAGGAACAUCAGUGGCGAAGGCGGCCAUCUGGGACAACACUGACGCUGAAGCACGAAAGCGUGGGGAGCAAACAGG